AAUAAAUUUCAUAUAUGAAAUGCCAGCUUCACAUGUGAAAUUUGUUUCACAUAUGAAUAAUUAAAAGCUGAUACAUAUGAAAUUUCACCUUCACAUGUGAAAAGUAAAUUUCAUAAAUAUGAAAUUUCUUUCACACGUGAGAUUGUAAAAAGUUCAUAAAUUAUCAGUUUUCAUUUUCAUAACAUUUUUGCGUAUUUUAACAUAUUACCCAUCUGGGCUUUGAUGUAAAAGGAAUUUGGUUACCUAGGAAAUUACUUUCGAGCGCAAAGCUGUUUAUGAAAUGCCUUGGUCGCUACAGGGACGUUUAUACAAGAAGCGGGCAACACAAGUUGUAUCUCAAAAUUCGUGAUGCAGUUGCAUCUCAAAAUUCUUAAUUGGACUGUCAAACGUCUUUACUGGUCAAAUCCCACUAAAGCCUGUAGUGUUCUUAUAUUUAUUUUUAAAGCGCCUGGGAGCGAGGAUGACCCGAUUGCUACCCGAAGAGUCCUCGAUCGGCUUAGUCGGCAUUGCUCGUAAACGAACCGUGCUUCGGAAGAACGUCUCAUAUUACAUCACGUCUCAAACUUUCUGCUGGCUGUCGUAAAUAUGGUUUGGGAAACUUGUUUUAGCGUAAAAAUUUAAUAUAUAUCCGUGUGGAAUAGUCCAAAUAUAGAUAUCAAUGGGAUAUGUGGUUAAGCUGUGGUUAAGCUGUGUUCAUGUGGUCUAUUAAAGAAUGGUUUUAAAGAAAUUGUCGGUUGAUGCCCGCAUCACCUGCUUGGGUUGAAGUGAACCAAGCCAAAAAUGAAGAAAAAUGGACAAAUAUUCUGUUGGCAGCCAUUGAGUUAGAAACACACUAGGAAUCAUCAGACUUCGGCUGGCAAGGGAAAUGAAGACAAACAAUUUGAUCUGGCUAAAUGAUAAAAGAAUGUGUAAGGCAGAACAGCAAAGAUAGUGAAAAGGAAUGCUAUGUGCAAACAGAUGAAGGAUGAAAUCAUGAAAAAAUGCCAUGGAAAGGAAAAAUAAUAAUUGAACUUGAUAAGUGUUCUUCUUUAAAUGUUAGCCAAAUUGUUUUUUUAAUUGUGUAUUUUAAUUGUGUAUGUAAAUAUGUGUAUGUAUUUAAUAUGAUUAACUUUUGUAUUUAGAUUUUUAUUGUAUAAAACCUCUUAAGUUUUAAUCCAAUAAAUGUUCAAUCCAUACAUUGAAAUUCACUCAUGCAGCCAUUUUAUUAUCUUCUGACUAUUUCAUAUGUGAAACAUUUCAUUUUUGAAAUCAUUUCAUAUAUGAAAUAUUC